UACGAAGGGGGCUAGCGUUGUUCGGAAUUACUGGGCGUAAAGCGUGCGUAGACGGUUAUUUAAGUCGGGUGUGAAAGCCCCGGGCUCAACCUGGGAAUUGCAUUCGAGACUGAAUAGCUAGGGUACGGUAGAGGGAAGUGGAAUUUCCGGUGUAGCGGUGAAAUGCGCAGAUAUCAGGAGGAACACCAGUGGCGAAGGCGGCACUCUGGGCCGGUACUGACGCUGAGGAGCGAAAGCGUGGGGAGCGAACAGG
rnacentral:rRNA from 1 species